ACUUUGAGUAAAUUAGAGUGUUCAAAAGCAAACAGUUAAAGCAUAUUUACUGCGUUUGAAUACUACAGCAUGGAAUAACAAAAUUGAACAAGUCAGAAUUCUGUUCUUUUUUCUUAUUUUGGCUUAGUUACGAUUAAUAGGAGUAGCUUGGGGGCAUUUGUAUUCAGAUGUCAGAGGUGAAAUUCUUAGAUUUUCUGGAGACAAACAACUGCGAAAGCAUUUGCCUAAAAUACUUCCAUUAAUCAAGAACGAAAGUUAAGGGAGUGAAGACGAUCAGAUACCGUCGUAAUCUUAACCAUAAACUAUACCAACUAGGUUUUGGAUGAAACAUUUUUAAAUAAGAAAAUUCCUUUCGGGGAAAUUUCUUAGAUUGCUUCCUUCAGUACCUUAUGAGAAAUCAAAGUCUUUGGGUUCUGGGGCGAGUAUUCGCGCAAGCGAGAAAGUUAAAAGAAUUGACGGAAGGGCACCACCAGGCGUGGAGCUUGCGGCUUAAUUUGACUCAACACGGGGAAACUCACUAGUUUAAGACAAGAGUAGGAUUGACAGAUUAAUAGCUCUUUCUUGAUUUCUUGGAUGGUGAUGCAUGGCCGUUUUUAGUUCGUGAAUAUGAUUUGUCUGGUUAAUUCCGAUAACGAACGAGAUCUUAACCUGCUAAUUAGCGGCGAAUACGUCAUAUUCUUAUGCGAAAUUGAAUAUA
rnacentral:rRNA from 1 species